rnacentral:rRNA from 1 species
AUACGGAGGAUCCGAGCGUUAUCCGGAUUUAUUGGGUUUAAAGGGUGCGCAGGCGGGCGAUUAAGUCGGCGGUGAAAUUUUUCAGCCCAACUGUAAAACUGCCUUCGAAACUGGUUUCCUUGAGUGUAGGUGAAGUAGGCGGAAUUUGUGGUGUAGCAGUGAAAUGCAUAGAUAUCACGAGGAACUCCGAUUGCGCAGGCAGCUUACUAAACUACUACUGACGCUCAGGCACGAAGGCGUGGGGAUCAAACAGGAUUAGAUACCCUGGUAGUCCACGCAGUAAACGAUGAUUACUAGCUGUUUGCGAUACAAUGUAAGCGGCUGAGCGAAAGCGUUAAGUAAUCCACCUGGGGAGUACGUUCGCAAGGCUGAAACUCAAAUGAAUUGACGGGG